GUCCUAGCCGUAAACGGUGCAUAUUUGCUGUAAAAGGAAUCGACCCCUUUUGUGGCGUAGCCAACGCGUUAAAUAUGCCGCCUGGGAAGUACGGUCGCAAGAUUAAAACUCAAAGAAAUUGACGGGGGCCUGCACAAGCGGUGGAGUAUGUGCUUAAUUCGAUGCAACGCGAAGAACCCUUACCUGGCCUUGACAUGUAUGUAGUAGAAGGAUAGAAAGUCUGACGAGGUAGCAAUACCAGCAUACACAGGUGCUGCAUGGCUGUCGU
rnacentral:rRNA from 1 species